GGCGCGGCGGCCCUGGGACCUCGACAGGCAGCAAGAUGUAGUGUUUCCAGUACCUGGCCCAGCACCUGGCCCAGAGCUGUGUUCACGUAACUUCAUAAGGAAUGAGUCUGGGCACCCUUUCAUUUGGCCCCAGACAGGAAUAUCAGAUGGCCUGGCGUCUGCUAAAGCCCUUAUUAUAUGGGCCACGCUCCACAUGGUGGGCCCACCAGGCUGUGUGGUGCCUUAAAUGUGCUGAACAGGGAGGCCAACAAACUCCGAAUGUUCUGCAAAGAGGAUUCAAAUCCACAAGCCUUCCUGGGAAAGUUCAGGCCACGGAAAGCAUCCUCACGGAUACACCUGUACACUGGGGCAAUAAUCAUCUCAGCUACAUGGGAAACACGUGCAUGGUCCACAGCUAGCACCCCAGUUCUAACCCUUACUAAUGUUAUCCCUUUUGUGCCAAAUCCGAGAAUAGGCAAAUAGCCGAGAAGGUGAGCUCUGUGGCAUUGCCAUUGGGACUUUUGGUUGUAAGUGAUGGAAACCCAGCUCCACAGCGAAAAAAAAUGUGACAAUGAAUAUAUGUAUGUUCAUGUAUAACUGAAAAAUUGUGCUCUACACUGACAUUUGACACAACAUUGUAAAAUGACUAUAACUCAAUUAA